GUGCCAGCAGCCGCGGUAAGACGAAGGAUUCAAGCGUUGUCCGGAUUUACUGGGUUUAAAGGGUGCGUAGGCGGAAAUAUAAGUCAGUGGUGAAAUCCCGCAGCUCAACUGCGGAACUGCCAUUGAAACUGCAUUUCUUGAAUACGGUUGAGGUAGAUGGAAUGUAACAUGUAGCGGUGAAAUGCUUAGAUAUGUUACAGAACUCCGAUUGCGAAGGCAGUCUACUAAGCCGUUAUUGACGCUGAGGCACGAAAGCGUGGGGAGCAAACAGGAUUAGAUACCCUAGUAGUCC
rnacentral:rRNA from 1 species